rnacentral:rRNA from 1 species
GAUGAACGCUGGCGGCGUGCCUAAUACAUGCAAGUCGAGCGAACGGACGAGAAGCUUGCUUCUCUGAUGUUAGCGGCGGACGGGUGAGUAACACGUGGAUAACCUACCUAUAAGACUGGGAUAACUUCGGGAAACCGGAGCUAAUACCGGAUAAUAUUUUGAACCGCAUGGUUCAAAAGUGAAAGACGGUCUUGCUAUCACUUAUAGAUGGAUCCGCGCUGCAUUAGCUAGUUGGUAAGGUAACGGCUUACCAAGGCAACGAUGCAUAGCCGACCUGAGAGGGUGAUCGGCCACACUGGAACUGAGACACGGUCCAGACUCCUACGGGAGGCAGCAGUAGGGAAUCUUCCGCAAUGGGCGAAAGCCUGACGGAGCAACGCCGCGUGAGUGAUGAAGGUCUUCGGAUCGUAAAACUCUGUUAUUAGGGAAGAACAUAUGUGUAAGUAACUGUGCACAUCUUGACGGUACCUAAUCAGAAAGCCACGGCUAACUACGU